GUGUGUUUUUUCUUGUCCUGUUUCUGAUUAACAGAAUUUGGCAUACAUGAGACUUGCUGGCACAUCUGUACUCAAUAAAGACAGCCCUUGUGUCCAGGAGGCCAUCACUAACUGCUGCAGAUGUGUCCUAGUGCAACACGACCCCAUGGACCAAGGAGAUCCAAACAUUAUGGAUGUUUCAAAGGAAGUGGAACGGAGCAUCCCGUAGGUCGCGUCCCUAAACGUUAGGGAUGUCGCAAAGGAAGUGGGACGGAGCAUCCCGUAGGUCGCGUCCCUAAACGUUAGGGAUGUCGCAAAGGAAGUGGGACGGAGCAUCCCGUAGGUCGCGUCCCUAAACGUUAGGGAUGUCGCAAAGGAAGUGGGACGGAGCAUCCCGUAGGUCGCGUCCCUAAACGUUAGGGAUGUCGCAAAGGAAGUGGGACGGAGCAUCCCGUAGGUCGCGUCCCUAAACGUUAGGGAUGUCGCAAAGGAAGUGGGACGGAGCAUCCCGUAGGUCGCGUCCCUAAACGUUAGGGAUGUCGCAAAGGAAGUGGGACGGAGCAUUCUGCGCGCACCUCAGAGGCAUACUGGGGUGCAUUCGGCCAAAGUGUAAUGGCUUGUUUGUUGCUUUCCAGUGUCCCUGUGAAACUUUAGUGUGUUAAGGCUCUCCUGCUCCUUGGCCAUUUCUGUGCUCAGGAAUGCCUUUAUAUAA